UGCUAUUUUCUUCUUGUCUUCCACUCUUUGCUCUCUCCUUCACCUCUCCUAUAACUCUGUAAAAUAUCUGUGAAUUGGCUAAACUGAAGGCCUCUACCGUGGUCUGAUUCUGGAGGUGCAAACUGUGAACUCCUUUGAAGAUACCAGCGGCACAUUACAGAGCCCAGAGCAGAAGUAGAGACAGAGAAUUCCAGAAAACCUUUCAAUGAAGCCAAACAUGUGGGUGCCUUAAUAAACUGCGAAAUACAAAUUUGCUGAUCAGCAGGUGUGAUUUUUGUGAAGCAGCCCAAUUCACUGUCGGCCUACCCAUCAGAACAAAUUGCACUUUGGAAAUAUCCGAGCGCUUCAACUUUCCAUUAAAUAUAAUAAGAAAUCACAAUGUGCUGUUCUGGCCUGAUGAGUCCUCGCCAAGGAUCUACAAGCACUUUUUACAAUUGCUACCAGGCAAUUGCUGCUGUCACCCUCGGUGUCACAGAGGCAGGAAAACAGGCCCAUGACCACCAGGCACUGUAUUAAUUUGUGCUCGUGUGGGAGCCUCUUGGGUGGCGUUCUUACUCUGCUUCACGUGUGUAUGAUCUGAUUCUGCAGAACAAUUUCAGAGUCUUCAUAGAAGGGGCCACCUUUUCUGCUUCUUUGGUAUCUACCCCCGUGCCUCAGUUAACCCCACUGGGGCCCAGCCAAUGGCUGCUGUCGACUGAUGAAUUCACAGAGCUGAGCCCCAUGAGGACAGAGGUGUCAGUGGUUCAUGGAAGCUGGCCUUCUACCUUCCAGCCUCUGUGACUUAUCACGUGCUCAUCUCUCUUCCUCCCCCGACUCUCCUGCUUCUUGCGUAUAAGAUGGUAAAAACUGCUCACUACUGCAGAUCAGUCUUUGCUAAGGAACACCGCUAAUUGAUAAUUACAUUUCAUUUUCAGGAUGUUAUCUUACUUGCGGAGAUUGGAAAUUGAAAUGUCCAGGGGUUACACAUAUGGUAUAUAUGGUUCUUUCCAGUCAGAGAUUAAUUGUCAAGUAUUAAUAUUUAAUUUUUUUUUAUUGCAAAAGCUUGUCAAAGGUUUCCAGGAGAAGGUGAGAGCUCAGAGUCAUCUUACCUGAUGCUCAGCAUAUCCAAGAACAGCACUGCCGCUGUGCAAUUUCUGAGUCCAAGAAAGAGAAUGAGAUGCAAAGAAAGGUUGGACCAUGACAGUCUAGUGAGUUAUUAGAUGGGAGAAGUUUCUAAGAAACAGGAGACAGAUUGGCCCUGUUGCAGGUCACGGGCUGCCUGCUGAGUCAGUGCUGGCUUCUGCCUGGACAGGAGACAGACGUGAGGCCAAUCCUUGACCUCUUCCUACACAGGCGGUUAGGGGUAACCUGGAGGACCAGGUUGGCAUCAACAGACCUGGGUUUCCUGGCAGCUUUACCACUCAGCAGCAAAUCAACCUCAAGGAACUUUUGUUGCCUCUUCUGUAAAAUGGGCAGGGUGCCAUCUGUCUGGAGGACCGCUGUGUCCCUCACUAAUGACAUUGGUCAAUGGUGUGCUACUUCACAGUUUACGAAGAGCAGUGAAGAACAAGAGACCUCUAUCAUCUCUAAAGCAUUGCGGCUUCUCGUGAUCUCAAGCGGAUUGAAGUUUUCGGCUUGUUGGACGGUCUCAAAGGAUUGCGGGAGGAGUGAGAGGAGAUGACGCACGUGGAGGACAGGGCCUGGCACUUAAAUGUUAACUUACCCCUCUCCUAGUUGCAGUUUAGAAUUUUAAAAAAUAAAGUAAAAGGACAUCUGGGAAUAUGAUUAUGAAAGAAUAAUUGUGGGAUCAUGACCAUUCAUCAAGCACAAAGACAGCAUGUUGGAAAUGUGGGGAUGUCCCCAGAGGAGCCCAGAUCCUAAGUGAAGUUGACAGGGGCUGGUGCUCCGUGGAAAUACCUUCCUUCUGACAUUGGGCAAAUGUCUAUAAGAAGCUCCUCUACUGGAGCCCACUUCUCAUUCUCAGGCUUGAGGGACCUCUCCCUCACCGGCCAAAUUAAGUGAUGUUGUGUAAGAGGAACCCACAUUCAGGACCCUGAGACUGGCCAGCACUUUCACCAGCCCCAUCUCUACCCACGGGCACGUUCAUUCACUUGUCCAUUUUAUCCCGGGACAUGCCUGCCUCUUUCACUAAAUUUGAUGAUGUGGAAUCAUCUUCGUCUGUGAACUCUCCUACAACACCUAGCACAGCACCUUUCACACUGAGCUUUUGCUCAAUCAUGUUAAUGUGUGCACACGAAUGCAAACACUCAUGCAAAACCUCCCCAGAAAAGGUGGUUAAGGUGGUUUUGGGGAUUAUUCACACAAAUGAGAGAAUUUCUCCUAUCUCUGUUACCUUCUCUGUUCUGUGCUCCUUCCUUUUCCUCUGCAUGCCCCCUGUGAUGGUUAAUUUAAUGUGUAGCAAUCUUAUUGGUCCACACGGUGCCCAGAUAUUUGGUUAAACAGUAGUCUGGGUAUGUCUGUGAGGGGGUUGCUGGCUGAGAUUAAUAUUUAAAUCAGUAGACGGAGUCAAGCAGAUUUCCCUCCCUAAUGUGUGUGGGCCUCAUCCAAUCAGUUGAAGGCCUGACUAGAACAAAAAGGCUGACCCUCCCACGAGGAACAGGGAACUCCUCCUACCUGACUGCUUGAACAGAACAUCAAUUUUUUCCUGCCUUUGGUGUCGAACUGAAGCUUUGGCUCUUCCUGGGUCUCAUCUUGCUGACUUUUGGACUGGAACUCACACCAUGGCUCUACUGGGUGUCUAGCUGAUACAUGGCAGAUUGUGGAACUUCUCGGCCUCCAUAACUGCAUGAGUCAAUUUCUCCUAAUAAUUCUCAUUCUCUCCCUCCCUUUCUCUCUCUCUCUCUCUAUAUAUAUAUCUUCUAUUGGUUCUGUUUUUCUGGAUAAUCCUAAUAGACCCCUAAACGUUGGUUUUUAUUAGGGUUUUCUCUUGGCAUCUUUUCUCCUUACUCCACAUGCUGUACUUGGGUAAUCUCAUUUACUCCCAUGGCUCCAACCACAACCCUUAUGUGGAAAAGUCCAAACCCUUCUCUUUAGUUCAGAUCCCUUCCAAGCUCCAAGCUCCAAUAUCAUACAUUCAACUAUCAACCUGCUACCCCUCCCUGGACAUCUCCAAGGUGCCCCACAGGCAGCCUGCCCAAAGGAGAUGACAGCACUCUCUGCACAAACCUACCUCCCCUCUACUAGUCCCUAAUUCACGGAACGCCCCACUUUCUACUCUGUUACCCGCACUUGGGGCCAGCCAGCUGACACUCCCUAAACCCAACUAGUGCUCAAGGACUGCAGACUUGACCUCCUGUGUCCCCUCACAUCUAAACCCUCCCCUCCCUGUCCAUCAGCACUGCUUCAGGUCAUUCUUCAUUGCCUCUUGUAAGUGAUUAUUGCACAUGGUUGUAUGAGCCUGUCUUUCCGUGCUAGAUUCUGUCCUCCUUCUGGGCAGGAUUCCCAAUUGAUCCAUUUUUUUUCGAAUCCCUUAGUUCCUAGCAAAGUACUUGGCGAAUAUCAGAUACUUAAUAAAUGGUUGUUUGAACAAGUGAUUGAAUGAAUGAAUGACUUCCCUUAGAAGUCCAUGGGGAGUAGAGAAGGCAGAGCAUCUGAUGAUAACGUGGUAUGACUGAAGAGACAAGAAACAGACAAAGAAGUUAAUUUAUUUGCCAUAAAUAAAUAAAAGGCAAAUUCUCCUUGAAGAAAUCUGAAAUGAGGAAAACAGCGACAAGCAGUUAUUUUAAGAGCAGGCUAGCUAAUACCCUAAAUACCCCCCGUGGGACAGGACAAACUCCACUAUAAAAGGUUUUGUUUGUUUAUUUGUUUUUCUUUUUGUUUGCCAUUUUCAGAAACGGAGCUUGGGACAGCGAGACAAACCCAAUCUUCCUAAAGAGGCCCUAGGGUAUAUUUAAAGCUCUCCCAGCACGCGCUGCUUGGGAUCUCAAGGCUUCGAUUCAAAGGACCAGUACAGGGCAAGACUCCUGAAGCUCGAUUCAUCAAACUCAUUUAAGAUGGAUUUGGUUUGAAUUGUGGUUCCAGGCAGCUGCUAACAGUCCAGAGACCAGACUGCUGAGUUGGCUCCUGGAUGGAAACAACUCAGUCCAGGAUACCUAGAAAAAUGUGGGAUAGAAAGCUGACAAUGAAGCUAAAAAUUGAGACAACACAGACCCUAUUGUGAAUAACUGCAAAGCCCCCUUCCCUUUCACCUUCUCAUUAAGGUAUUGUCCUCAGCUAUUUGGAAAAAUCUAGGUUAAAAAAAAAUAUAGGUUUUUCUAGCCUGAAUUACUGACAGGACUGACAAAAUAAUGGAGAAGAGAGGGGGAGCCGUAGGAGAGAUCUUGCCUUCCAACACUUAGUUUUCUGAAAUGAAUGAACUGCAAGCCUUCUCCCUUACCAUUCUUCAUCAAACAGACACACACACACACACACAAACAUCCUUGAAAGUUUGGAAGCACUGCUGCUUGCAAAUGGGCCCAUUAAAAGCAGAUAAAUCAAUGGAAAACGCAUAAAAAAGUCUCAUUUAUCAUAAGAUGUGUUGGACAGUGUUUUGAGUUUUACAUACAUUUAUUCUAGAAAUCUGUUUAUCUGUGCAACAUUUCUGAACAAAAUACUUUGUGAUGAACUGUUCUCUCUACUUGAAUCUAUAUGGAAAGCAAUUAAAUUCAAACCCCAAAGACAAAACGUGAUGAACGCAGCAGCCACACUAUUGAUUUGGCAUCUCGCCACUGCCCUUCUCCCUCUUGUGUCUCAUCUCCAUAGGCCCUAAAAGGCAGACACCUCCUACUCUUAUGAAUCUUGUUUCUUGUGUCUUCUACCAAGACAAAUUCCCCGA